GUGCUUGCUUCGGCAGCACAUAUACUGAAAUUAGGACGAUACAGAGAAGAUUAGCCCCUGUGCAAGGAUGAUACGUAAAUUUGUGAAGCAGUCCAUAUUUUU